UACGUAGGGUGCAAGCGUUGUCCGGAAUUAUUGGGCGUAAAGAGCUCGUAGGCGGUCUGUUACGUCGGCUGUGAAAACCUGGGGCUCAACCCCGGGCCUGCAGCCGAUACGGGCAAGCUAGAAUUCGGUAGGGGAGACUGGAAUUCCUGGUGUAGCGGUGAAAUGCGCAGAUAUCAGGAGGAACACCGGUGGCGAAGGCGGGUCUCUGGGCCGAUAUUGACGCUGAGGAGCGAAAGCGUGGGGAGCGAACAGG
rnacentral:rRNA from 1 species